UACGGAGGGUGCAAGCGUUGUCCGGAUUUAUUGGGUUUAAAGGGUGCGUAGGUGGCCCCUUAAGUCAGUUCUGAAAGCUGGUCGCUUAACGAUCAGGGGUGGAUUGAUACUGGGGGGCUUGGAUCAGGUGGCGGUUUCUGGAACGGGUCGUGUAGCGGUGAAAUGCAUAGAUAUGACCCAGAACUCCGAUUGCGAAGGCA
rnacentral:rRNA from 1 species